UGGGAAGGUAACGGCUUACCAAGGCAACGAUGCGUAGCCGACCUGAGAGGGUGAUCGGCCACACUGGAACUGAGACACGGUCCAGACUCCUACGGGAGGCAGCAGUAGGGAAUCUUCCGCAAUGGGCGAAAGCCUGACGGAGCAACGCCGCGUGAGUGAUGAAGGUCUUCGGAUCGUAAAACUCUGUUAUUAGGGAAGAACAAAUGUGUAAGUAACUAUGCACGUCUUGACGGUACCUAAUCAGAAAGCCACGGCUAACUACGUGCCAGCAGCCGCGGUAAUACGUAGGUGGCAAGCGUUAUCCGGAAUUAUUGGGCGUAAAGCGCGCGUAGGCGGUUUUUUAAGUCUGAUGUGAAAGCCCACGGCUCAACCGUGGAGGGUCAUUGGAAACUGGAAAACUUGAGUGCAGAAGAGGAAAGUGGAAUUCCAUGUGUAGCGGUGAAAUGCGCAGAGAUAUGGAGG
rnacentral:rRNA from 1 species